rnacentral:rRNA from 1 species
UACGUAGGGGGCUAGCGUUGUCCGGAAUCAUUGGGCGUAAAGCGCGCGUAGGCGGCCCAGUAAGUCCGUUGUAAAAGUCAAAGGCUCAACCUUUGAAAGCCGAUGGAUACUGCUGGGCUAGAGUCCGGAAGAGGCGAGUGGAACUCCUGGUGUAGCGGUGGAAUGCGCAGAUAUCAGGAGGAACACCGAUAGCGAAGGCAGCUCGCUGGGACGGUACUGACGCUGAGGCGCGAAAGCGUGGGGAGCGAACAGG